GUGGCUCAAUGGUAGAGUGCUUGCCUUGUAUGCAUGAAGGUCCUGGGUUCAAUUCCUCAGC
rnacentral:tRNA from 1 species